UACGUAGGUGGCAAGCGUUGUCCAGAUUUACUGGGCGUAAAGAGCGCGCAGGCGGCUGAUUAAGUCGAAUGUGAAAGCCCCCGGCUCAACUGGGGAGGGUCAUUCGAUACUGAUCAACUUGAAGGCAGGAGAGGGUAGUGGAAUUCCCGGUGUAGAGGUGAAAUUCGUAGAUAUCGGGAGGAACACCAGUGGCGAAGGCGGCGACCUGGACAGAUAUUGACGCUGAGACGCGAAAGCGUGGGGAGCGAACAGG
rnacentral:rRNA from 1 species